CUGCAGGGAGAGAGUCUGCAGCCUCUCUCUGGGGGAUGGAAGAAGAAGGAGGUGGUCCAGGGAGGCAGCAAGGUGUUUGAGGGAGUAGAACUUGGCUGGAACCCAGAGCAGAGGCAGGGCCUGGAUUCCCCACUGGACACAAGAAGGGUGGAGUGAAACCCCUGAGGGGUGGACUAGAGUGUGACCUUGCUGAAUGACCAAGUUGCAGGAAGAGAUACCACUGGAUUGACCCUCAGCAGGGGGUGCCAUAUGGGGAGAAAGCCCUUUCAUUGCAUCUGGCCACAAGAAGAUGCUCCUAUGGCAUUGCUGGAAAUCGUUGUCACUGGCAUGGGUGGGUACAAGUACAGCAGCUCUCAUAAGAAAGCAUGACUGGCCCCGAUUGGACUAGAUAUCAAUGUGCUUUGAGAUAAAAAGCGUGGGAAUUGGCCAAUCCUGCCCACGUAAGUGGGGCAACUAUUUUUCACACAUGGGGCAUACUCAGAAAAUCCAUUUAAGUGUUUCUAUUGACUUCAGUGGGCCCUAUUUAAGUGGAUCAGGGAGAGAGAGGUGAUUGAAACUCAUUGCCAGUGAUUGUAGGGAUUACCAGUGUGGACACCGCUUCUGUAAGACUUUGCCUGGAACUUUCACAGACUCCGGUUCCUGCACAUGAAACGAGAUGUAAAGAAGAAGUAAGGAAAGGAGGAGCCAGUGAAAAAAUAAUGGAGAGAGAAAGAGGAACGAGGACGAGAAUGCCCUUCAUGUGACCCAUGACUUCUUUUGGCAGCAGUACAUGGCUUUGAACUAUGGACCAAAGGAUGUCCUGCUUCCCCUCCUCUAGAGCCAGUCUAUUUAGAUCUGUUACACUAUUGAACAACCAUCUAUGUGGUAGAAUCACAGUGGCUU